AGAGUUUGAUCCUGGCUCAGGACGAACGCUGGCGGCGUGCUUAACACAUGCAAGUCGAACGAUGAACCACUUCGGUGGGGAUUAGUGGCGAACGGGUGAGUAACACGUGGGCAAUCUACCCUUCACUCUGGGACAAGCCCUGGAAACGGGGUCUAAUACCGGAUAUCACUCCCGCAGGCAUCUGUGGGGGUCGAAAGCUCCGGCGGUGAAGGAUGAGCCCGCGGCCUAUCAGCUUGUUGGUGAGGUAAUGGCUCACCAAGGCGACGACGGGUAGCCGGCCUGAGAGGGCGACCGGCCACACUGGGACUGAGACACGGCCCAGACUCCUACGGGAGGCAGCAGUGGGGAAUAUUGCACAAUGGGCGAAAGCCUGAUGCAGCGACGCCGCGUGAGGGAUGACGGCCUUCGGGUUGUAAACCUCUUUCAGCAGGGAAGAAGCGAGAGUGACGGUACCUGCAGAAGAAGCGCCGGCUAACUACGUGCCAGCAGCCGCGGUAAUACGUAGGGCGCAAGCGUUGUCCGGAAUUAUUGGGCGUAAAGAGCUCGUAGGCGGCUUGUCACGUCGGGUGUGAAAGCCCGGGGCUUAACCCCGGGUCUGCAUUCGAUACGGGCUAGCUAGAGUGUGGUAGGGGAGAUCGGAAUUCCUGGUGUAGCGGUGAAAUGCGCAGAUAUCAGGAGGAACACCGGUGGCGAAGGCGGAUCUCUGGGCCAUUACUGACGCUGAGGAGCGAAAGCGUGGGGAGCGAACAGGAUUAGAUACCCUGGUAGUCCACGCCGUAAACGGUGGGAACUAGGUGUUGGCGACAUUCCACGUCGUCGGUGCCGCAGCUAACGCAUUAAGUUCCCCGCCUGGGGAGUACGGCCGCAAGGCUAAAACUCAAAGGAAUUGACGG
rnacentral:rRNA from 1 species